AUUGAACGCUGGCGGCAGGCCUAACACAUGCAAGUCGAACGGUAACAGGCAGAAGCUUGCUUCUUUGCUGACGAGUGGCGGACGGGUGAGUAAUGUCUGGGAAACUGCCUGAUGGAGGGGGAUAACUACUGGAAACGGUAGCUAAUACCGCAUAACGUCGCAAGCCCAAAAAGGGGGACCUUCGGGCCUCUUGCCAUCAGAUGCGCCCAGCUGGUCUUAGCUGGUGGGGGGGUGAAAGGUUCACCUAGUCGACGAGCCCCAUCUCGUUUGAGAGGAUGACCAGCCACCCUGGAUCUGAGCCACGGUCCAUACACCUGCGGGAGGCAGCAGAGUGGAAGUUUGCGCAAUGGGGGCAAAUCUGAUGCAGCCAUGCCGCGUGUAUGAAGAAGGCCUUCGGGUUGUAAAGAACUUUCAGCGGGGGGGAAGGGAGUAAAGUUGAGACCAUGGCUCAUUGACGUUACCCGCAGAAGAAGCACCGGCUAACUCCGUG
rnacentral:rRNA from 1 species